GACACAACUUUAAAAUGUCUGUUUCACGUAGCAUGGACGACUGACGACAAGAUGUUCUGUUUUUGUUUUCUCCUAGAUGGAAAUUUGGACUCGUCCCCUUUUACUGUCAAUGGUCGUCAUCCAAGUGUUACUUUUCCUGCAGACUUUCCAAAGAGGAGGCUAUGUUAUGUUUGGGGAAACACGAGUGCGCACACGACGAAGUGAAAGUAAGCUGACGCAGGUUACAGUGAUUCAAAGAUGAAAUGAACACGCACAGAGAUUAAGUUUCAAGUAUUCGACUGGCAUAUAUAUUUUAAAACGUCUUAUUUGCACUUCUACCCACGAAAUGGAGUUGAUCUAAGGAGCCGAUCAUGGCAAAUUGUGGUUCUCUACGACUAACAGAAUAAAAAAUGACCAAUGCAUUUUCUGUGCACUCUGGCAUGGUCUCUUAUUCUACUACCUCUUGGGUCCUGCUGCACAAGCCAAAAGUCCAAAGAAGUCAUUGCAAUGGAUUAUUUCCAUGUCAUCAAACCACGUAUGGAGGGCAUUUUAAAUGACGUUGUCAAAGAACUGAGUGGAACAUGCAGACCGGCCAACAGAAGCGGAAAUGCAACGGAGUUGCCGAGUGUCUCAAUACAAUUUCUCAACCAUGUCGUCUGUAAACAUUCACCGAAAAAUUUCUGCCAUAUGAGUCCUAAAGUGGAACAGCUCACUGGAGAAAUUCAUGCUUCAUUAGGAUGCUCAUGCAAGGCACAGCACUCUACUCAGAAAAAGUGUCAACCACAACUCCGCUUGCGGAAGAAACUUUGCACACUGAAACACUGGCUAGAGAGGAUAAAGGACCUGUACAGUCAGUUCAACUCUACUUGAGCGUUGGCUCAGGAAGCAGGAGGACAGCAUAAUGUUUUCAUAAUGACUCUUGAAGUUGGAAACGCUCCAGUCCAGUGUAACUCUACAGUGCCUCCGCUACUCAAGCACAGGGAAAGGACACUUGGACCAAGAGGAGAAAAGAGAGGCCACCUAUCUCAAGCUUCUGGCGGAGUAUGGAGAAAACGGCUGUGAGGAUGCACAUUACCAGUGUCGUUUGAUGGAUACAGCCUUUCAAGGAGCUUUAUUGACUGGAGGGGAUUUGGUGUAAUAACCAGCAUUUUUUAUUUGUUUGUUUGUUUUGUUAUGCCCCUAUGAGGACCACUCCACCAAGAAUGCUUUAUUAUGAAUGAAACCAGUGUAGACAGCCUAAACUUGCCAGGACCAUUCAGGAUGGAUGUCAAGCCAUACUGACUUAAGUUGAUAAGUUAAGACUGUAACUAAAAUAUGUAUAAUAACAGGAGAGAAUGAACACUGCAUUACUGAAAAACCCAUAGCCUACUGUAUAUGAAGUUCAAAAUAUCUGUUGUGUUUCUUAGACAUGUUCUAUAGUCAGUUCACUGUCACACACUACCAUAAAUGAAGAAGUCCAUGUGAUUAUAUGACAAAAACACAUGAUGGGAAUACAUAUUGUAAUUAAACGUUCUGUUCUGAAGCAGUACACUGAGGCCUAUACACUAAUUUAAUUGGACUCUCCUUUAAACAAUAAAAUAUAGCUAUGAUAUCGCUACAUAUGGUUAUGGGAUUUGGCAGAAGCUUUCGUCCAAAGCGACAUACAAAUAAAAACAAUAAAAUAAUUCAUUUAACAGUGAACAAUUUAAAAAGUUGUUCAGACUACAUUAAAAUAGCAAUUACAAACAACAAUGUCAAUUCAAUCAAUAGCUUAAUGAAAAUAAAGCAAAUAAACAAUAAUGUCCAUUAAUUCAAUCAUAUAACAACAAUGACAUGUUACAGCUGCAUUAAGGAGAAUAGCAAUACAAAAUGUCAAUUCAACAGCCUAAUGAAAAUAAACAAUACUAUAAAACCAUAACCCAUAAGAAGCAAACUAAAUGCAUGUUCAACAGAUAUACAUGUAGACCUUUAGAUCCCUCAUUCCAAAACUAUGGAAUGGAAUGGAGAGUACUGGGCAACUCAUUCCACCAACAUGGAAGAACUGAUGAAGAGUCUAGAAUUUGACCUAACAUGUAUAGCUGGUCGACACAACAGACACUUAUCAGAAGACCGCAGUGGGCGAGUGGGGAUGUACAUCUUGAUCAUUGAACUGUAAUAGCAGAGAGCAGAUCCAGUCAGUGUCCUAUAGGCCAAAGUGAGAUACAGUAUUUAAAUCUGGCCACAGCAGAGAGUAACUAGGGGAGGAGUUACAUGUCCUCUUUGGCUGAUUGAACACUAGGCAUGCUGUAACAUUCUGAAUCAGUUGUAACAAUCUUAACACACAAACAAGUAGUCCAGCUAACAGUGAAUUACAAUUGUCCAGCUUGGAAAUAACCAAGCCAUAGAAGAAGCUGUGUGGAAUCUUGUGUCAGAUCAGGUCUAAUCUUCCUAAUGUUGUAAAGGAUAAACCAACAUGAUUUUGAAAUUGAGGCUACAUGCUCAGAGAAGUCAAUUACUAUAAUCAAUUACUGUGUAACGGCCAAGUUGUGAGCCGAGGGGUUGGGGUCAGUGAAGAUGAGUCAAGCUGGAUGCUGAUCUGUUGAGGAAUAGCUGUUCUGACUGGAAACACCAAAAUAUGUAUGUGUGUCUGUGUAUAAAAGCACGUGCACGCGCACGCACACACACACACACACACAGAGUAUAUUGUGAGAGUGUUCAAUAUGUGAACACAAUUGAAAGUUUUGAAUCCUACCUCAAAGAUGGGAGUGAGGGCAUUGCUUAUGAUUUCUUAGUACAGAUUUAAAGGAGAAAUCCGAGUUUUUUUUGUCACAGAAUGGUGUUGGUAUGAGUAAAAACGAUCAGUCCUUGCUCGAGUUAGAGCUGCCAGGCAGCUACUGCUAUUCCUAGAAAUUCCAAUGUCUGUAAAUUGAAAGAUGUCUGUAAAAUGAAAUAUGUAAAUUCCAGUGUCUGUAAAUUGAACAAGUUCAGGUAUAUUUCAGGCCACGUAAUCUGGACUGCUCAGGUGAAAUGUGCUUUUAGUCCAUGAUAUAGCUUCCUGAUAUAGAUUCUUUGAUGCUGAUUUUCUACACUAAUGGUGCAAUAUAAAAAAUGGUAGGGGCUGAUGUUCAUGUAAAGUAGCAUAUUCUGCACUUGCUAAAUGUUCUGCUAUACACAGACUAACACAUUCAUAGAUGUGCUAUGAAGGGCUUUAUACUGAUUUUAAAAAGGGUACAAUUGACAACAACAAUAAACAAAUGAAAAAAAAUGGCAUUAUCAGCCAUAGCCCUCAAACAAAUUGUAAACAUCAGUAUCUGCCAAGAAAUCCAUUGAGUAUCAAAUUAAUACAAAUGUGACAGACAUCACACAACAAGCAAACAGUUUGUG